rnacentral:lncRNA from 1 species
ACCCGCUGCCCCCACACUGAACCAAAGACCCCGCCCCAUCAGCUGUCUACCACGGCUGCUGAUGCUUGCUGCAACUCCGGUCCACGUGCUCCCAGCCUGCCGCUUCUACUUCUGCAUCUAUCGUUGCUUCAAGCGCAGUUGAGAAGCACAACGGCGGCCCCGCCUCCCGCUCCGCCAAUGGUCCGCCGGUGCAUCGCAGCCUCGCUGGAGUCGCCUGAGCCGUUUCUGAAACUGAGUUAUUGUUUCUGAAACUGAGCUAUUGUUUCUGAAACAGAGCUAUUGUUUUUUCACGCAGGUGUUCAUGAUUUAGGAUGGAACAGAGUUAGUGUUUCAGAAACAAGAGCUAAUCGAAGAUUGUUGAUGGGAUUUGCUAGAUGGAGCGAAGAUUGUUGAUGGGAUUUGCUAGAUGGAGCUUCAGGAAACAAGAUCAUUGUUGAAAUCAGAGAAGACCAAAUCUUGCAACAAGAGCAUUGUUGCAGGAAAUGCUCUGGUUGCGAAACCGUGCGGGGCGCAAAUCUAUCGGGGACCGGGAGCAAGAGUGCCAAUGUUUCUGCAACAGAGCGGUUGUUGCGAGAAAUAACUAGUGGGCAUGCGGGGCGUGGAUAUCAGAUCGGGCGGCUAUCAAGUCGGGCAUCCAACGGUCGUCGAGGCGACGGAUAAAAUCAGAAAAUCGGUCGACGGACGCGUAGCGUCGCCUCUUUUUUUUCUCAUCAAAGAAUGAGGAGAGACGUAUUUACGUACGUGAUAAGUACAUCGCUUUCUUUUCUUGUUUUGUCGUCGGCCGAUAUAUAUCGAUGGAGCACAGGAUCUAAACUCGGGAUGAGGGUGUGCGCGAUCACUUCUCGAUGAUCCUCUUCUUUCCAAACAGCCUUUUAAUAAUAUACUUACUGAAAGAACAAGGGUUCAGAACUGAGCACUGAAAGAACAAGGGUUCAGAUUGGCCAUGGAGAUGCACCGAAAGAUCCAACUCUUCUGUAACACCAUACCGCCUGCAAGCUUUUAGAGAAGACGAAUGUUAAUUAUUGGCAACUGUGCUAGUUCAGAUUGAUUAAUCCCUACAGUAGAUUAUGGAAGAAAAGCAAUUCCAACACUGAUAUAUGAAAGCUCAAGUCCCAUCUUUAUGGAAUGAAAUAAGAUAAUCUGAUAAACUUUUUUCUCCAAGUAUGCUCCUUGAUAAAAAUAAAAAUAUGCAAAACUAUAAUUCUUGUUGCUUCUGUACCGAGCAUUAGGUUUAUGGAAUGAAAUCUCAUGGUAGUGAUUCAGCAUUAGGUUUUACUCAGUUCCUGUUCGUCCGGUCCGGUGCAAUAACAAGGGUUCAGCAGUUAGCAUUAGACGGAUUAUGACUACUCUGUCCACAUUGGAUAAGCAUUGGAUAAGGGGCUGACCACAUUGUUUCUUGAAUGUUGGGAACAAAGCUGCAGUACCUGGAGCUCAGGGGACGACAGCAAGGCCAGCAGCAGCAGCAGCAAGCGCGGAGGUCUGGGAAGGAUGAGUUCCGGCUACUCUGAAUACAUCGACACCUGAAACUAAAGGUAAAUAUUCAGUUAACAGCCGGUGCGCGUCACUGCUAGGAAAGAAUGAACGGCUGGG